AGAGUUUGAUCAUGGCUCAGAACGAACGCUGGCGGCAGGCUUAACACAUGCAAGUCGAACGCGUGUAGCAAUACACGAGUGGCGCACGGGUGAGUAACGCGUGGAUAUCUGCCUUUUGGUUCGGAAUAACCCCGGGAAACUGGGGCUAAUACCGGAUGGUUCCUACGGGAUAAAGAUUUAUCGCCAAAAGAUGAGUCCGCGUACGAUUAGCUAGUUGGUGAGGUAAUGGCUCACCAAGGCGACGAUCGUUAGCUGGUCUGAGAGGACGAUCAGCCACACUGGGACUGAGACACGGCCCAGACUCCUACGGGAGGCAGCAGUGGGGAAUAUUGGACAAUGGGGGCAACCCUGAUCCAGCCAUGCCGCGUGAGUGAUGAAGGCCUUCGGGUUGUAAAGCUCUUUUGGCGGGGACGAUGAUGACGGUACCCGCAGAAUAAGCCCCGGCUAACUUCGUGCCAGCAGCCGCGGUAAGACGAAGGGGGCUAGCGUUGUUCGGAAUUACUGGGCGUAAAGCGAGUGUAGGUGGUCGUCAUAGUCAGGUGUGAAAGCCUUGAGCUCAACUCAAGAAAUGCACUUGAUACUGGGCGACUAGAGGACCGGAGAGGAUAGUGGAAUUCCCAGUGUAGUGGUGAAAUACGUAGAGAUUGGGAAGAACACCAGUGGCGAAGGCGGCUAUCUGGACGGUUUCUGACACUAAGACUCGAAAGCGUGGGGAGCAAACAGGAUUAGAUACCCUAGUAGUCC
rnacentral:rRNA from 1 species